rnacentral:rRNA from 1 species
CCUACGGGUGGCAGCAGUGAGGAAUAUUGGUCAAUGGACGGAAGUCUGAACCAGCCAUGCCGCGUGCAGGAAGACGGCUCUAUGAGUUGUAAACUGCUUUUGUACAAGGGUAAACCUGAAUACGUGUAUUCAGCUGAAAGUACUUUACGAAUAAGGAUCGGCUAACUCCGUGCCAGCAGCCGCGGUAAUACGGAGGAUCCAAGCGUUAUCCGGAUUUAUUGGGUUUAAGGGGUGCGUAGGCGGAUUGAUAAGUUAGAGGUGAAAUGUCCGAGCUUAACUCGGGAACUGCCUCUAAUACUGUUGAGCUAGAGAGUAGAUGCGGUAGGCGGAAUGUAUGGUGUAGCGGUGAAAUGCUUAGAGAUCAUACAGAACACCGAUUGCGAAGGCAGCUCACCAAGAUAUAUCUGACGUUGAGGCACGAAAGCGUGGGGAGCAAACAGGAUUAGAUACCCCUGUAGUC